UCGUAAAAAAUCAUGAUCAGAGACGAUGUACGAUAGCAUGAUUGCCAGAAUUAACAUGUACGAUAAGAAUUCUAAAAACCUUAAUAAAAUGAAAAUUGAAAUUCUCCAUUUUGUUGGAGUGAAUGUUCUGUGUUCAUGGAAGAAACUAAUGAAUUUCCAGGUUCAAUUUGGAGGGUGGACAGCCACAGCUUUUUGUUGGGAACAAAAUCAGCGACAUAUAUUUGGUGAAUUGGCAAAAGCCUGAAAACAUGCGUACCCUCUCUCCAUCUACAAUGUGCAGGUUGCAGAGCACCUCUCCUACGCCCAAAUCGAUGGACCCUUUUCCACGCCGUCGUUAAGCGCGAAAAGCCCUGACCUUUUGACGAAGCCGCGAACCAUCGCCCUCUACCGAGACUCAGCCUUGACGAGAUCCAAACGAUCGAUCUGACAUUGGGUUAGCCGCCAUUGAUUUGACAGGAAAUUUCUCCGAAAAUUAUCGAACUGGAAUUUCCAUCAAAUCGAACCAUUUGAUAGUUGGGGAGGCCUGAAUAUUGUCCUGAGUGUCAAAAAUGCUCACGGCAUCCCCACUUCAAGAACCCUCCGUUCAUCUAAUUCCCUUGUGCGAGUAAAAGUUGGAACUCUUGCCGGAAUAUUGUUCUCUCCCUUAUAGAAGUAUCUUGCAAGUCUGACCGCCUUUUUCCAAGACAUUCUAUCUCUUGGAGUUGCGUUGCCUCCGAAAGCCUCUUGUUGGGGCUGAUAACGCUUGUGCAAGCCGAUUAAUGAUAUUAGAAGACAAAUGGUGGAAGUGACACCAGACAUAAGGUAUAGACCCCAGAAACUUUCAAGGCUCAAACGAUCAGGUGUACUGGGUGUUACAUCCGUUGCACACUCACGGGAGGGAGUCAACCAUUCAUCUUCAAGUUUUUUUAGCUUUCCGUCUUCAAAUAGCCUUAGAAUCGCUUGUGAAAAAUCCCUGGCUAUUGGGGAGCCUUUCUGGAAUACCUGCAUGGAUGAUCAGAUAUUACUUCUAUUAGAGAAAAAUAAGGAAAAGCUUCUUUGGUGAAUCCUAGAGAAAAUGAACUAGUUUCAGCCACCAUGCAGAAAGUUGUCAAAGACUCAAAAGUGCAAAGUUGAAGUUACUACUCACAAAGCCAAAUCCUCCAAAUCUAUAGCUGGGUCUGUUGCUAGUGUAUGCUUUGCAAUACUUGUUGAUGAAAACUUUCUCAUAUGGAAGUUCAAGAAAGGCAGCAGCUAUUUCCUUUCUUUCGAAUAAUCCUGUAUAAUCAUCUUCCUUUAGAACCGUAACGAUGUUUUCUGACUUGAAUUUAAUCACACCCUCCAGGUAAGCCUUUACAAAAGAAUCGUUAUCACAACCAA